rnacentral:tRNA from 4 species
GAGCGGUGGCCGAGUGGUCGAAGGCGCUCGCCUGGAAAGUGAGUAUACGGCAAAACCGUAUCGAGGGUUCGAAUCCCUCCCGCUCC